rnacentral:lncRNA from 1 species
UUAUAGAAAUAAUUAUUUAUUUGCCAAAACCCCACCAUUUUUUUAAAUUACAAAUUAUUUAAUGAUUUGUCAGCAUUUCCUUAACAAUCAUUCUAUGAAUGAACCUUAUGACUAGGACUCCAUUAUGAAACAACCAACUGACCAAUCCAAAUAGUACAACUCUAAAAUAAAAUUAUUUAAUUUAUCAAGGUUAAUUUUUGCUUUUUUGUCCACUAAUAUUUAGAAUUUAAUUAUUAUAUUUAACUUUGCGUAAUUUGGUCUUUCUAUUUCUUUUUGUAUUUUUCAAGGUCAAGAGGGACAUCGCCGGUAGGACUAGUAGCGGUAGCCUGAGAAGGACGGGAGGAACUAGUAGCACUACCAUCUCUAGAAGCUCCAGUUCGUGCACUUGGAGGGCUUCCACCGGGGGAUGAGGCGGCGACAGAAACCACGCCAGCAAGCGCAAUCAAAACCAAUGCAAGAACAACAAGUUGGCGUGCCAUUUUUGUUUCGUAAUGUGGUCUGUGUUUAUUAAGCAAGAAAAUUAAGAAAAGAAAGAAAAAAUGUGAUUAGGACGGGAG